rnacentral:rRNA from 1 species
AGAGUUUGAUCAUGGCUCAGGAUGAACGCUGGCGGCGUGCUUAACACAUGCAAGUCGAACGGAGCACCCCUGACGGAGUUUUCGGACAACGAAAGGGAAUGCUUAGUGGCGGACGGGUGAGUAACGCGUGAGUAACCUGCCUUGGAGUGGGGAAUAACAGCCGGAAACGGCUGCUAAUACCGCAUGAUGUAUCUGGAUCGCAUGGUUCUGGAUACCAAAGAUUUAUCGCUCUGAGAUGGACUCGCGUCUGAUUAGCUAGUUGGUGAGGUAAUGGCUCACCAAGGCGACGAUCAGUAGCCGGACUGAGAGGUUGGCCGGCCACAUUGGGACUGAGACACGGCCCAGACUCCUACGGGAGGCAGCAGUGGGGAAUAUUGGGCAAUGGGCGAAAGCCUGACCCAGCAACGCCGCGUGAAGGAAGAAGGCCCUCGGGUUGUAAACUUCUUUUGUCAGGGACGAAGCAAGUGACGGUACCUGACGAAUAAGCCACGGCUAACUACGUGCCAGCAGCCGCGGUAAUACGUAGGUGGCAAGCGUUAUCCGGAUUUACUGGGUGUAAAGGGCGUGUAGGCGGAGUGCAAGUCAGAUGUGAAAACUAUGGGCUCAACCCAUAGCC